UUAAGGGGUUCUUAAUUACUUUGUUAACAUGAUGCUGUGGGCAAUACACCCAACAAGAACGAUGUAUUCUCGUUGUCAUCAAUUAUGGUGAAGUUUCAGCAUAACAAUGUUUAGCGUUAAUCAAUACUAGUUUGGCUUUUUAAGGCCACGUUAUUAGUUGAUAGACUGAUUAUAUGGAUUUAACCUUGAUAUGAAAGGGUAUUUUUAGCUUUUUGCAUGGGGAUCUUGUGUAUUGACACGAUGGGAUGUACGAAGCUAAUUCUUUAAUUAAUAGAAGCCGUUCUGGUCAGAAAGUAGCACCGACGAGACAAGAGGGCCAUGACUAAAAGAAGGCUCCCACACAGGUGGCUGUGAGGAGUGAGGCCCAAAGGCAACUAAUAACGGAUAAGCGGCGGGGGAGCUGAAAGGAAGACAGGCUCUCCCACACAGGUGGCUGUGAGGAGGGAGGCCCAGAGGACAAGACUGUCUCGUCCUUACAGGCUCCCCACAGAACAAUGGCUCUCACCAUCAUCAGUACAACAUAAAUUAUCUUAAAAUUCUUUCUCUCAGGGCCUCCCUCUCUGUAAACAAACAAUAUAUCUACGUGGAUGCUUGAUAUCACAUUAUGGGUUUCUUGUUUACGUGUACAGGUAGGAGUACAAAAGAGUCAUGGAAUGUUCUUUCUGUAGAAGAGGCCUUUCUUUUCUUGUUAGGGCUGAGCAGUCGUCAGCGUCUUCAGCUUCUCAUUCUCAAGUUAGAUCUGGGAGACGCGAAUUGAUUGCUGCGAGUGUCAUUGCUCCGUGGGUAUCCAUGGUUAACCAAACUUCUCCAUCGUGACAUCCUUGAUAUGGUUCCGUUGCUGCAGAAACUAAAGGGGGAUUUCUUCUAGUCACGGACAAGAGGAUGGAUACUCAUUUCUCUACCCAUUUGGGUGGAAGUUGUCAUUGAAGGUCAAGACAAGGUAUUUAAAGAUGUCAUUGAGCCAUUAGAAAGUGUUAGUGUGAACAUGAUCCUACCGUCAAACAAGAUCUUCGAGAAAUUGGUCCUCCACAACAGGUUUUCCAUGUAUACUUUACCACCCGAUUUUUUUCAUCACAGAGGCGGUUGCUGAAACGUUGAUCAAAAAAGUUUUAGCCACACCUUCACAGAAAACAAAACUAAUCGAGGCAAAAGAGCACGAUGCUGAUGAGAAAGUUUAUUACACAAUCGAGUCCGUUGCUCAGGCUCCAAAUUUUACCUGCCAUGCUCCUAGUGCAAUUACCAUUGGCAGUUUAUGUAAUUUCUUGCACCCAUCCCAUCAUUCAAGGCUUACUCCUGUGGUUCCACAACGAUUUCAUUAAAAGAGAUUUGGAGUAAUUGGUUUGCAGUGAUCUUGCUACCAUCACCUUCACCUUUAUUCUUUCCAACUUUUCCCAUUUUUACUCAGUGCUGUCGCAUUUGCCUUGUAAGACUAGAAUGCUUGUGGAACUUCAGGUAAAACACGUUAGGAUUUUCAAAGUCUGAGAUGAUCAACUGGACAACUUUCCAUGGUGGUCAUGAUGAAAGAUAAAUUGCAGACGGUUGUUGAUUCCUUUGAAAUUUUCAAUGUUUGAUGUGGUUGUUCAGUUUUCAUUUUUCUGCUUGGGAACAAGCCUCUUUCAGAGCUGUACGAGGCACGUUUCUUUUCACCACGUAUCCUCUUGUAGAGGAGCAUCUGAUAUCCGAAGCUCUAUGGGUAUUGAUAUGAAAUGAACUUCCCUUCAUUAUUCUUCGGUGUCAUGAUUAUAAUACAGGCACCAUCCAUCCAUUGCUGUA